rnacentral:rRNA from 1 species
AACGCUGGCGGCGCGCUUAACACAUGCAAGUCGAGCGAGAACCGGACCUUCGGGUCCGGGGAAAGCGGCGAACGGGUGAGUAACACGUGGGUAAUCUGCCCUCGGCGCCGGGAUAGCCCGGGGAAACUCGGAUUAAUACCGGAUAGCCUCCGAAGCCUUCGGGCGUCGGAGAAAAGGUGGCUUCGGCAUCUGGCUGAGGAUGAGCCCGCGGCGGAUUAGCUUGUUGGUGGGGUAACGGCCGACCAAGGCGACGAUCCGUAGCUGGUCUGAGAGGAAGACCAGCCACACUGGGACGGAGCACCGGCCCAGACUCCUACGGGAGGCAGCAGUGGGGAAUCUUGCGCAAUGGGCGAAAGCCUGACGCAGCGACGCCGCGUGCGGGAAGAAGGCCUUCGGGUUGUAAACCGCUUUCAGGUGGGACGAAGCUCCUCGGGUGAAUAGCCCAGAGGGUGACGGUACCUCCAGAAGAAGCCCCGGCUAACUACGUGCCAGCAGCCGCCGUAA